rnacentral:snRNA from 1 species
UUUUCCAUAUGGAGGAAAGUUACA